rnacentral:lncRNA from 1 species
UGAACAAAGAACAACACUUAUAAGAAUUAAAGCAGAAAGAAAAAUAUGGGGAAAGUUUCUAAACGAUUUGGUCUUUUGGGUUUGAUGCUUGUGUUGCUCAUCAUUGGAGCAGCGGAAUGUAGGAGACUCGAGAAGGAGACUUUGGUAGUGGUGCUGGAGGAGGCCGUGGUGGUGUAUUUUGAAUUCAGCUUUAUAGUGUUACUUGUGUACCACGCCACAGAAAAGAAAAAGGAAGAGAUUACAUUUUGCUAUUAGUAUUGAAUGAAAUGAGUGAUACUGAAAAAGAAGUAUUAAAUAUUCGAUGUUCAUGACUUCACUCUAAUGAACAGAUCUCAUACUCCAAUAAGAAGAAUGAAAAAGAUUGGUUAGUAGUUUUAUUUUUUUAAUAUGAACAGCAAUCUGGUGAAGAUGAUAAAGCUCUUUCCUUUGAAAACAAGAACCGCAACAGCAAUCUUAGCAUAAUCAUAACCUAAUAUUGCACUAAAGCAUCGCUUAUCACAUCAUCGUUAUUCUUGGUUUCCAUAAUCAACCUCAAUUCUAAAUAUGGUCAAUGGUUGAUACUCUUGCUUUCAGCCUUCUUCACAAUCGACGUUUUCUUCUUCUGCUUCUGCCUCCAAAUUCAAGUCCAGCUUUUCUGCAAAUGAAGUCACAUUAAAGGAACUUAUCUGAGUAUCACGUAAUCGGUAAUCCUUAUAUAAUCAUGAGACCUAAUCUCUUUCUUAAUGGUUUAUGGCCCACUAAUAUAGUAAAAAUAUGACCAUGUCUUAAUUGUUGAAAGCUCUGCAUAUUAAAACUCAAACAGACCUACAACAGAAGGCUGUGGAUUCUUGCUGAUUCGGCUUUUCAGCUACCUCUUGCUGCUUCAUUUGAGCGGCGUAAUAAGGUUUGCGAUACUGCAAAAUGGAAACAACAUGUAUCAAUAUUCGGGAAACAGUACACAAUCCAAACGAUGCUACUGUGGGAAUCUAAGUAAACACAAAUAAAUUUUACACAAAAGGCAUACCCUCAUAUACUUAUCAUCAUCGCCUGGUUUCUUGUCAUCUGAAAGUCCUUGUGAGCCACCAACAAGCUUUGCUCCUUGUCUCAUCUCUCCUCUUUGUUCCUCGGUCAGAUACAUUCCUUGCAUACGUUGAGACAAGCAUUGCUUAACCCUCUCUGGAGUCGUCAUCAUCCAUGGAGGCAAGACUUUCCGCCUCGAUUUGACAUAUUUUUUUCUUUCAGCAAGGUAAGCCUUAGCCUAACAAUGUAAGAUUCAUGAAAUCAAUUAGAGAAGGAAAAUGCAGGAAAAACGUGAAGCAUUUAUCAGACAUUUGAGUAAACUUGUUCCUCGUUUAGGGUUUCAUAAGAUUCACUAGCACACUCACCUAUAGAAUAGGAGAAAACAAAAGGGGAAAUUUCGUUACAAGCAUUGCCUCAUCUUCCAUAAUAACAUUGAACUUCUAUCUAUAUACAUUGACUGAGAGAUUAUUACCUAACCUACCUACAAAAUCUCAAUUUUUUUACCAGGAAUCUUAUAAACCUAAAGGAGAUAGAUUUUACAUUCAAAUCACAUUCCUAACAAAUCAUCAUCAUCACCACUUCUUAAUGAAGUGUCUGUAACAAAGAAAAAGAAAGAACCUGAUCAAGCUGAAGCUGGUCAUCAGCCGAGACGGUGGCGCCACGUUCAAUGUCGAGAUGGUUUAGCUUCGGCCGUUUCUGCUUCUCGGCUCGAUCGUGUCUCUUCAGAGACGCCGGAGGAGGACACUGUUGAGUGGAAAAACAAAACUCUGUAAAAUCGUUUGGAGAAAACAAAAGGCGGAAUUUCGUUACAAUCAUUGAUCCCUAAAAACAAAAUCUCAACUUUACAAGGAAUCCAAAAACCUAAGGAGAAACUAUCAUUCUGAUGAUACUCGAAAUUCCCAAAUUCUAAAAACCAACGAUUUGAGCAGCGUGAGACUAAAAUACAGACCUUAAUCUGAGCUUCAAUGGCGUCAAUCCUUCUGACUCUCUGAGAAGCUUCAAUGGCUUCGCGUUGCUUUUGCGCAGCGACCUUGGCUUUCCUCUCUCGUUCGAGCUUCAGUUUCCCCCUUUCCUUCCUCUCUCUGUGCUCUCUCUCAAGCUUCUCCUUCGCCAAUCUAAACGCGGAAUCCAUCUUCGACACACUUCGGAAUCUCAAGGUAGGCUCGGUGAAAAGUGAAAACACAAAUUAAUUAAAGAAAAACAAAAUUAGGUUUUGAGGAAAAAGGAAACACCUUUAUUCUCUCUUAAUUGCUCUUCAAGGAAAAAUAAAUAAAUUCACUAUAAAUACAUCUUCCUAAAACCUUAAGCCGGAAAAUUUAUUAGGUCUCUCUCUAUACUCUCUCGAAAAGCCGCUUCCUUUUUCCUUCUCUUCUCCACGGUCAUGGAAUCCGCCACCACAGUAUAAUCUUCUUCCUCCUUAUGGCUUUCUUACUCUGUCUUAAACCUCUGUUCCUGUUUCUUCUACAACUUUUUAUCCGACCUUGUUUAUGUUUUUGGGGUUUUUUUUUUCAGGUUGAAGCAGUUCCUGCUGUGAUUGAGGCUACAACGAAGCCUUUGAACAAAGGUAAGGACUUUGGUUUCUUUUCGGUCUGAUUAUCUAAAAAUGUGUUUAACCCAUCAAGUUCAUGCGUUUUUGGGAACAAAAGAAGCGUUUUUUGUCUCAAGUAGUUCGUGAAUCUUCAUUUAUAAGGCCUUUUGCUGUUGAGAUUAGAGGUUUUUGUGCUUGUAGAGUUUGUUGAUUUUGACAUUUGUAUUUGCUGCUUUUCUUAAGUGUCUUCGGAUGAUUUGGAGACCAAAGUGAAUCUAGAGAGUCAGAAUAAAGAAUCUGAGGAGAUGCCUAAGGAGGUGAAGAAUACCUUGUCCUUAUUUCUCUCCUAUUGCAGAUACUGUAUAUUGCAUUACUGUUUGCUGAUAGAAUUACUCUAUUUCUGCUGUAUGAUGUAAAAAUGGGUGGAUGCUGAGCAGAAAAUCAGAUGCUAAUGCUAACAUCGUAGCUGCUAUAAGUCUCUUUCUUUCUGGUUAACUAUGUUUUGAAGUUAAUAUUUGUGUAUCAUGAUUUGACUUUCAGCCACAGCCACCAAAGCCUACAACUACUGGAGGAUCAAGGACACUCUUUGUUAGCAAUCUCCCAUUCCAAGUUGAAAAAUCAGAUAUGUAAGUAUAGCACCAUCCUCUCUCGUUGUUUUUCUGGCAGCUAUUCCAUUGACCUUAAAUAAUAUUGUUAUAUAUCCUCCAUUUAUGUACAGCGAGUUCUUCUUCAAAGAAGCUGGCGAGGUCGUUGAUGUUAGACUUGCCAUGCCAGAAGAUGAUGGCAUUUUCAGGGGCUUUGGCUUUGUUGACUUUGCUUCUUCUGAAGAAGCAGAGAGGGUGAGAGAGUAGUUUUUUCUUUUCUUUUUUUUUUUUUUUUUUUGUCUUUACAAUUGACGAGAGACAUUUGAGAAAGUAAUGAUUACUGAUUAAGAUGUUUCUCUACUUGAAAGGCGCUGGAAUUUCACGGUAGACCUUUGCUCGGUCGUGAAAUUAUUCUUCAGUUGCACCUUCCAGAGGUGUAAACACUCCACAAAGCGGGUAAAAACUGAACCUUUGUUUCCAAUUGUUUGUGUAAGUAUGUUCUUGUGUUGACACUUGAUAGUAAUCUUAGCAGCAUUACCAGAGACGGAGACGGCGUGAAAGGAGCGUAAAGUCUAGUUCCAAGGGAGAAUCAAUCAAGGAUAACUGAAGAUAAUAAAUAAUUAAGGAGUUAUUAAUUAGUCUAAUUAUGAUUUAACUGUUGCUAUUUAGUAUUUCCAUUGUCUGGUUUUUUUUCUUAGCUUCUCUCUAUAUUACGUUUUAUCCUUUAUGCAAGGGGUCAAUUGAGUAUUCAGAAUUCAGGAGUAUUUUUAAAAAGAAGAUAGACAAUAUUUCAGUUUCUCCUUGGUGUGUGUGUAUAUUAUGAAAAUAAAAUGCUAAGAACAACAAUAUAAUGUCUCAAUAUUCUAAAGCCAGCUACAUUAAAUUGGCAUAUCAAUAUUAUCAUAAGUUAAAUUAAACAAUUAAGUAGAUAUAUAGAUCAAAACGCAACUGGUCCAACUUCAUGUGAAGGGUUUUCAUAAUGGCAAAUGUUUACACAUGAGCAAGUGCGAACGCUUAAAGCGUGUAAACCUUUGUACAAAUAUUACCCUGGAUAUGAGGGUGCCAUACUUGACGUAGACUUCGAUUUGAGGAAUUGGGAAGGAGACAAACUUCUUUAAGUCUCAUGAUCUAGUUCGUCUAUAAAUGCUUCUUGUAUCAAAUAAGCCAUAUAUUUUCAAGGGUCCGAGUAGAAUGUAGCCUUACCCAUAAAGUUGUCUAUCAUCUAUACCUUUAGUAGCAAUAAUGUUGUCUAAUUGAACUAAAUUACACAUCUAUAAGAGUCACAAAACUAAACAAAAGGGAAACAUCCGCAAAUAAAAGCAUGUCAAUUCUCUUUCAAUCAUCUUUCUACACGUUAAAGCCAAUGGCUACCUUCUUUUCCCAAACUCAAGAGCAUUUCCCUUCAAUAUAUUUUGAUUUCUCGAAACUAAAUUACUGAACCAACCCGAAUGAAAGGAAAAAUUCUUCAUUUGAAAUUUGUUACGUGCUCAAAAAAAGAGGCACACGAAAACAAACCCCAGUUUGCCUAAUACUCUUCCUGAUUUUUACUCUGUAGUCAAGGUAACUAUUAAAUUUGUCGGCAGAUCAUAAUGAUAACGAUUUGUGGAUGGAUAUAAACUGCAUGAUUAUGAUAAAAGAAGAUCAAAUGAAAAUAUACCAAGUGGUAAAAGUAGUUGAGACGCUGAAAAAGAAAAAGAGAAGAAUCUUAAUUAAUUUGUUUCCAAAUCCAUGUUGAAUUUCACGUCACCUUUUUUUCACAAUGAGAUGCUCGUUUUAUUCGUUUCUACUACUCAUAUAUCAUAUAGAAUCCUUCUAUACUUAUCCUUGCAAUUCAUACAUUGUAGAAAAAUCAUAAACUAAGUGUAAUAACGUUAAAAAACAACAACCAAAGUAUAAAUCUUGAUGAGAAGUUCUUUUGAUUUAUAUUUAUGUUAUCAGUUUCGUUGUUCUUAGAAUCUUAGUUUUCAUCAUUGUAUUAAACUUCUUCAUGAUUGGAAUGUAAAAGCUUAACAAAUGAUUUAAUUAGCAUUGCACGUAUCAACUUAGAGAUUUGUGCGUAAAUAAGCUUGGUGGCGGUAUAUUUGAUUAUUUUCUAUGGGUUUUAUAACAUUAUACUGCACUAACAUAAAUAAGCUAAUUAUUAGAUCUUGAAAACAUCUUGGAAAACAUAUUUAGAUUUCUGCACACGAAAACGACAUAAAUCAAGUUAUAUAUAUACUGUCAUGAUUCUCAUGAAUUACUCUAAUUUGUAAUUUUGUUUCGAAAUAAAAGUUCGUAAGACAUUCCCCUACAUUAGGCUUUUGACUUUUCGGUGAUAAAAAUACUCUAGACACACUAAAAAUAUACUGUUUAGCUUAAUUCAAGGAAAUGGUAGGGUUGAAAAGUAUGAUAGGAAUACAAUUUGAAAAAGGAACACUUGCUCAGUACUCAUUAAUCAAAGAUUGAGAGAUUAGGAUAAAAAUAUAAAGUUAUAAACCCAAUGGUUAAGUAGUUGAAAAGCUGAAUAAAGAUAGUAAUCUUAAUUAAUUCCACCACCUGCCCAUACCCUACGGUUGAAAUUUUUCUUCACCUUUUUAUUUCGAAAUGAGAUGUUCUUUAAAUUGUGGUUUAGAAAGAAAAUGGUUACUAACAAAGAGAUGCCCUUCGAUUUGGAAAAUAGCAUGAAAACAACUGAAUUACAAAUCCUGAGUACUGCCUUUUACUUGAUAUUAUUCUAUCUUCUUUGUUGUUCUCAAAAUCUUAUGGUUUUUUUUUUUUGAAACGUAAAUCUUGUGAGUUCAUGUCAUGUUUGGACUGUAAACGCUUUCUUAACCAAUUAUUUAGCACUCCUGUUUUUCUAAUGCAUGUUAUGACUGCUAAGAAAAUAAUUUGUGAAAUUAAAUUGUGCAUAAAAUAAUUAUUAUAUAUAUAUUAUCUUGAAAGAAAUAAACAUAAGUAAACGUUUAUAAUCGAUUUUUAAAAUGUACAUUGCGAGCCAUUAUGUUUAAAUAUGGAUAUGAUGAUAUGGUUUCUCUAACAAAUAUAAUAAAACUUGACUAGGACAUGAGGUAAGAAAAACCUAACUAAGACCUGUAGCGAUAGUUUGUGUUUGUGCUGUCAUCUAUAUUCAAGCUUCCCUAACGUAGGUUGAUGACAAACCAAAACAAGAAUAUUAUACUUACAGAUUCAUUCAUAGUUAAAUAAAUAAGCUUAGAGAAUUUUUUUGAGAUUUUAUAAAACUAAUUUGGAUCAACAAAAAUAAACAUAUAUAUUUUUUGUUGUUUUUUUGUGCUAAUGAUAAACAUAUACACACACCUUGGAAAACAUAUUUAUACAUAUAGUCAUUAGUUAAAUACUCUUUUUAUGUUGCAAAUUUGUUUUGAAAUCAAAGUUCGUAAACUAUUUCACAUGUCAAACUCUUUCUUUAGUCGGUGAUAAAAGUAGCACAACGUAAUUUUGCUAUGAUUAAAGAAGUUUAUAAAGUUGAAAAGUAAGCUCGGAAUACAAUUAAAAAGGGAACACUUGCUCAGCACCAUUAAAGACCCUGAAGAAAAUUGUAGCAUCACAGAUUGCGAAAUAUUGAGGAAUAGUGUAUGAGAAAUUCAAUUAAACUACUGUGUGAUCAGUGAUGAUUGAUGAAGGCCCCAACCAAUUCUAAUUAAUGCUAAUCUUUGUUUGCGCCUAUAAAUAAAAUUAGCAGAGUAAGGUGAGUAACACUGAACAAAGAACAACAUUUGAAAAAUAUAAGAAAUAAAAAAAAUGGGGAAAGUAUCUAAACGAUUAGUGUUCUUGGGUUUUGAUGCUUGUAGUGCUCAUUAUUGGAGUUGCGGAAUGUAGGAGACUUGAGAAGGAGACUUUGGGAGGCGGUGGUUUUGGAGGAGGUGGCGGAUUUGGUGGUGGAAAGGCGGUGGUGGUUGUGUUGGAGGAAGAGCUGGUGGCGGUGC